rnacentral:misc_RNA from 1 species
GAUGAAGAACGCAGCGAAAUGCGAUACGUAAUGUGAAUUGCAGAAUUCAGUGAAUCAUCGAAUCUUUGAACGCAUAUUGCGCUCUUUGGUAUUCCGAAGAGCAUGCUUGUUUGAGUAUCAGUAAACACCUCAAAGCUUUUGGAUUUUUUAAUCGAAAAGCUUUGGACUUGAGCAAUCCCAACACCAAUCUUUUUGAGAUCGGUGGCGGGUUGCUUGAAAUGCAGGUGCAGCUGGACAUUCUCCUGAGCUAAAGGCAUAUUCAUUUAGUCCCGUCAAACGGAUUAUUACUUUUGCUGCAGCUAACAUAAAGGGAGUUUGACCGUAUUGGCUGACUGAUGCAGGAUUUCACAAGGGUCGGCAACGAUUCUUGUUAAACUCGAUCUCAAAUCAAGUAAGACUACCCGCUGAACUUAAGCAUAUCAAUAAGCGGAGGA